UGCUUCUGGCCAGCAUGAUGAACUAAGCAUCUUUGUUCUGCCAUGCUCUUCCCACAUGAGUCCUUGCCUUGGAGCUGGCUUAUGAUGGACUGAAUCUCCUUGUCUCACUGUGUUCCAGGUUGACCUUGAACUUUCUAUGAAGCCUAGGCUGGCCUCAAUUUUGCAGUCCUAAUGCCCCAGCUUCCCAGAGGGCUGGAAUUACAAGCAUGUACCAUCACACCCAUCUGGGACAUUUGCCUCCUUAUUAUUGAGUGAAGAAGAAGAGAGAGCUGAGCUUGGAUGUAUCAUCUGUCUUACCCUGUGAUGACCUGCACCACCUCAGGACUGGGCAGAGAAUCCCCAGCAAGAAGCACCUUGAGAAAUGUGGACAUCUAAUCUUGAACUUCCCAGUCUUUAACAUCAUGAGCCAAAUAACUUUUUUUUAUUUUAAAUAAAUUACUCA